CAGAAGGACCAGGAGGAACACCAGGAGAAGUUCUUGGCUGUGCCUCUCUCAGGAAAGUGAAAAUCAGUGAAGACAUGAGACCCACAAGCAUUUCACAGCUAGCUGUAGCAGCAGGCCAAGCUCUGUCUCCAUCACUCCAUGGUGUCCUAUUUAUACCCUCCAAACAUCACGUGUCCUCCAUGUGUCUUGCAUUCAAUCAGCCCAAGUCUACAGAGGCAGCAACAAACUGCAGCAUAUCACUAGAAGUUUUUUGGUGUGUUUCUCUCUAUGGAGUCCUGACAAAUGCAGCUCAACUACGAAAUGUAAGGCAGACCAAUACAUGUGUGUUAUUAGCAAAAAAUCCUAUAUCACAUGUCCUCUCAUGUGCUUGCUUUAGCAGAACAUCCUCUCUCCUGUGUCUGCUUCAGUGAGACAUUCCUUCAUGAGUCGGCCUUUAGCCUUUCACACCUGUAUGCACUUUAACGAGACGUUCCUUCAUGUGUUUGCCCCAGCAGCACACACCAUCCAACAGACUUUCAAAAAAAAAAAAACCUUAAGUUUCCACUUCGUGGCUGCAUUUUUGUAGUUGCUACCUAAUACUUGGGAUUUUUUUAUUAAUUUAUUAAAUUAUAUAUGGGUAGGCACACCAAAGCACGCAUGUGGAGGUCAGAGAAUGACUCUCAGGACUCAUGUUGCUAUCCCCUUCCAACAUGUGUGUGCUCCAACACGUGUGUGCCAGAGGCUGAGCUCAGGUAGCCUUUGCUUCCCUAGCACUCUGGUCAAGUGUGCUACCUAUAAAAAGAAACCAGAUGUGGUGGUGUGAAUGGAAAUGACCCCUAUAGACUCAUAUGGAGUGUCGUUAUUGAAAGUGUGGCCUUGUUGAAGGAGCUGUAUCACAGAGCAGAAGGGUUCAAGCCAGGCCAAGUGACAUUUUCUAGUUGCUACCUGCUGAUCCAGAUAUAGAACUCUCAGCUGCUUCCUCAGAGGCAUUAUGUGCAUGCCUCCAUGCUUCCUGCCAUGAUAAUAAUGGGCUAAGCCUCUGAAACUGUAGGCCAAACCCAAUUAAAUAUUUUCCUUCAUAAUAGGUGCCUUGGUCAUGGUGUCUCUUCACAGCAAUAGAACAUGGACUAAGACAGAGUUGGUACCAGGAGUUGGGGUAUUGAUGUGACAGGCUGGAUCAGGUUUUGAUAUGGAGGAAGGAAUGUGGACUACUUUAGGAUUUGGACUAGAAAAGUGAUUGAACAUUUUAAGCAGGGUUUAUUAGGCUAUCCUGGACAGGCUACCCUGGUAGAAACAUGGAAGACAGCCGUGCUGAAGGUGAUUUGAGCUGUGGGGGCAGAGCUCAAAAGGUUUAAGAGGAGAAGAAUGUUAGUAUGUGGCCUAGAGACCAUUCGUAUGAUAUUUUGGUGAAAAAUACUGCUGCUUUUUGCUCUUGUCCGAAAAGUCUGCCUGAGGCUACAUUGAAGAGUUUUGGAUUAAUUGUGUUUGCAGAGGAGAUUUCUAGACAGCCUAGUGUGGACUGUGUUGUGUGGUUACUAGUGGCCAGUCUUAUGCAGAUCUUUAAUGAAAAGGAACAAGCAGAGCAAUGAAAAAUACAAAAUGCACAGCUUGAAGAGAAAAGGAGCACCAGGCAGUAUAAACAGAUUAAAGAAAAGCCUGCCGCUAAAUGGAUUAAGGAAGAGGUUACUUCAGAGAGAGACCCCACCCAGCUAAGCUCACAACUUGUGAAAAGGAGUUAAGGAAAAAUAAAAGGAAACAAAGACACUCAUAGGGCCAAGUGUGGUGGCACACACCUUUAAUCCCAGCUCUUAGAAACAGAGCCAGACGCUUUCCAUUUGGCCCCGGGUGGGCAUCUGGCUGUGUGAAGCUACUGACCCCACUUGGUGGGGGGUGGACAAGGGGCAGCCCCCGAUACCAGAGGCCCAGGGUGACACCCUCUGCCCCGGAGUUAUGGGAGAGAGGGCAGAGGGAGAGAGGUUCCCACACAGCGAGAGUCCUUAGUCCGGUUCUUGGCUGGAGCACAGG
rnacentral:lncRNA from 1 species